CCUGUAUGUCUGUGAGUAGAUGUCGGUUUAUAUGAUUUAGCCUCCUCUUCCCUACCAAGCAACAGAGCUUCCCUGGCAGGUAUCACAUUCUCCAACCAAAAUUCCCGUAGAAUGGGGUGUAUUAGCUCCCAAUAACUAUGGUCCCUAUGCACUCGAAUUAUUGUGCUUCCAUUUGGUGUCCAGCAAUACAAAUCUGCCCAUUCUCUAUUCAUUAUUUCCAAUUGCCCUUGAACUUGAGGCAUGUAAUAGAAAGGCAUGGUUGACCAGGGCAGAGCCAUCUCUGGCUUCCCCUUGUUAUAGGGACACUUAACUUCCAGGAUGCCACCCUCCAGGAGACCAUCUGGAGAAGCACCAAGCCAAUCAAAUUGUUGUGCUGGAUGGAUUGCAAAUCCCAAAUGACUAACUUCACGACUUGUGAUGCUU
rnacentral:misc_RNA from 1 species